rnacentral:rRNA from 1 species
UGGGGAAUAUUGGACAAUGGGCGAAAGCCUGAUCCAGCCAUGCCGCGUGUGUGAAGAAGGUCUUCGGAUUGUAAAGCACUUUAAGUGGGGAGGAAGGGCAGUAAGCGAAUACAUUGCUGGUUGGACGUUACCGACAGAAGAAGAACCGGCGAACUCUGUGCGAGCAGCCGCGGUAAUACAGAGGGUGCAAGCGUUAAUCGGAAUUACUGGGCGUAAAGCGCGCGUAGGUGGUUCGUUAAGUUGAAUGUGAAAGACCCGGGCUCAACCUGGGAACUGCAUCCAAAACUGGCGAGCUAGAGUAGGGCAGAGGGUGGUGGAAUUUCCUGUGUAGCGGUGAAAUGCGUAGAUAUAGGAAGGAACACCAGUGGCGAAGGCGACCACCUGGGCUCAUACUGACACUGAGGUGCGAAAGCGUGGGGAGCAAACAGG